GGCGUUAUAGCUCAGCUUGGUAGAGCGUCCGGUUGAAGCCCGGAAGGCUGUGGUUCAAAUCCACAUAGCGCCACCA
rnacentral:tRNA from 1 species